rnacentral:rRNA from 1 species
UACGUAGGUGACAAGCGUUGUCCGGAUUUACUGGGCGUAAAGAGCGCGCAGGCGGUCGAUCAAGUCGAGUGUGAAAGCCCCCGGCUCAACUGGGGAGGGUCAUUCGAUACUGAUCGACUCGAAGGCAGGAGAGGGUAGUGGAAUUCCCGGUGUAGUGGUGAAAUGCGUAGAUAUCGGGAGGAACACCAAUGGCGAAGGCGACUACCUGGUCUGUUCUUGACGCUGAGGCGCGAAAGCCAGGGGAGCGAACGGG